GGUGUGGUGGAGCCGGCGGUCCGAGUCUGUAGUAGGUGAGUGAUGGGGUGACGCAGGAAGGUAGUCCAGCCCGGGCGGUGGUUGUCCCGGGGUAAGGGUGUAGGGCGUCAUGCAGGUAAAUCCGCAUGGCACGAAGCCUGAGACCUGAUGCCGAGCCGAUUGUGGUGAAGUGGAUGAUCCUAUGCUGUCGAGAAAAGCCUCUAGCGAGUGCUGUUGCGGCCCGUACCCUAAACCGACUCAGGUGGUCUGGUAGAGAAUACCGAGGCGUUCGGGUGAACUAUGGUUAAGGAACUCGGCAAAAUGCCCCCGUAACUUCGGGAGAAGGGGGGCCACGGCCGGUGAAGAGUCUUGCACUCGGAGCUGGUGGUGGCCGCAGAGACCAGCGAGAAGCGACUGUUUACUAAAAACACAGGUCCGUGCGAAGCCGUAAGGCGAUGUAUACGGACUGACGCCUGCCCGGUGCUGGAACGUUAAGGGGACCGGUUAGUCACAUUUCGGUGUGGCGAAGCUGAGAACUUAAGCGCCAGUAAACGGCGGUGGUAACUAUAACCAUCCUAAGGUAGCGAAAUUCCUUGUCGGGUAAGUUCCGACCUGCACGAAUGGCGUAACGACUUCUUGACUGUCUCAACCAUAGGCCCGGUGAAAUUGCACUACGAGUAAAGAUGCUCGUUUCGCGCAGCAGGACGGAAAGACCCCGGGACCUUUACUACAGCUUGAUAUUGGUGUUCGGUUCGGUUUGUGUAGGAUAGGUGGGAGACUGUGAAGCAUUCGCGCCAGCGGGUGUGGAGUCGUUGUUGAAAUACCACUCUGAUCGUGCUGGAUGUCUAACCUGGGUCCGUGAUCCGGAUCAGGGACAGUGUCUGGUGGGUAGUUUAACUGGGGCGGUUGCCUCCUAAAAUGUAACGGAGGCGCCCAAAGGUUCCCUCAGCCUGGUUGGUCAUCAGGUGGUGAGUGUAAGUGCACAAGGGAGCUUGACUGUGAGACUGACGGGUCGAGCAGGGACGAAAGUCGGGACUAGUGAUCCGGCGGUGGCUUGUGGAAGCGCCGUCGCUCAACGGAUAAAAGGUACCCCGGGGAUAACAGGCUGAUCUUCCCCAAGAGUCCAUAUCGACGGGAUGGUUUGGCACCUCGAUGUCGGCUCGUCGCAUCCUGGGGCUGGAGUCGGUCCCAAGGGUUGGGCUGUUCGCCCAUUAAAGCGGUACGCGAGCUGGGUUUAGAACGUCGUGAGACAGUUCGGUCCCUAUCCGCUGCGCGCGUAGGAGUCUUGAGAAGGGCUGUCCCUAGUACGAGAGGACCGGGACGGACGGACCUCUGGUGUGCCAGUUGUUCUGCCAAGAGCAUGGCUGGUUGGCUACGUUCGGGAGGGAUAACCGCUGAAAGCAUCUAAGCGGGAAGCCUGCUUCGAGAUGAGGACUCCCACCCCCUGUGUGGGGUUAAGGCUCCCGGGAGAUGACCGGGUUGAUAGGCCGGAUAUGGAAGACCCGUGAGGGUUGGAGUUGACCGGUACUAAUAAGCCGAGGGCUUGACCACACA
rnacentral:rRNA from 1 species